rnacentral:rRNA from 1 species
AAAAAAGGUAAGCUACUAAGAGCGAAUGGUGGAUGCCUUGACUGGUAAAGGCGAUGAAGGACGUACUAGACUGCGAUAAGCUACGGGGAGCUGUCAAGAAGCUUUGAUCCGUAGAUUUCCGAAUGGGGCAACCCAAUGUAUAGAGAUAUACAUUACCUAUAUAGGAGCGAACGAGGGGAAUUGAAACAUCUUAGUACCCUCAGGAAAAGAAAUCAAUAGAGAUUGCGUCAGUAGCGGCGAGCGAAAGCGCAAGAGGGCAAACCCAGUGCUUGCACUGGGGGUUGUAGGACUGCAAUGUGCAAGAGGUAAGUUUAGCAGAACAUUCUGGAAAGUAUAACCAUAGAGGGUGAUAGUCCCGUAUGCGAAAAACAAACCUUAGCUAGCAGUAUCCUGAGUAGGGCGGGACACGAGGAAUCCUGUCUGAAGCUGGGUCGACCACGAUCCAACCCUAAAUACUAAUACCAGAUCGAUAGUGCACAAGUACCGUGAGGGAAAGGUGAAAAGAACUGAGGUGAUCAGAGUGAAAUAGAACCUGAAACCAUUUGCUUACAAUCAUUCAGAGCCCUAUGUAGCAAUACAGGGUGAUGGACUGCCUUUUGCAUAAUGAGCCUGCGAGUUGUGGUGUCUGGCAAGGUUAAGCAAACGCGAAGCCGUAGCGAAAGCGAGUCUGAAUAGGGCGCUUAGUCAGAUGCUGCAGACCCGAAACGAAGUGAUCUAUCCAUGAGCAAGUUGAAGCUAGUGUAAGAACUAGUGGAGGACUGAACCCAUAGGCGUUGAAAAGCCCCGGGAUGACUUGUGGAUAGGGGUGAAAGGCCAAUCAAACUUCGUGAUAGCUGGUUCUCUCCGAAAUAUAUUUAGGUAUAGCGUUGUGUCGUAAUAUAAGGGGGUAGAGCACUGAAUGGGCUAGGGCAUACACCAAUGUACCAAACCCUAUCAAACUCCGAAUACCUUAUAUGUAAUCACAGCAGUCAGGCGGCGAGUGAUAAAAUCCGUCGUCAAGAGGGAAACAACCCAGACUACCAGCUAAGGUCCCUAAAUCUUACUUAAGUGGAAAACGAUGUGAAGUUACUUAAACAACCAGGAGGUUGGCUUAGAAGCAGCCAUCCUUUAAAGAAAGCGUAAUAGCUCACUGGUCUAGUGAUUUUGCGCGGAAAAUAUAACGGGGCUAAAGUAAGUACCGAAGCUGUAGACUUGCACACAACUUAGAUUAUUUAAGUUUAGAAUAUGAGAAACUAAGUUAUAUGUUUAGUUAUAUUUUUACUGAUUUUUAUAGAGUAAAGAUAGAAAUAAAACUUAGUAAAAUCAGUAAAAAUAUUCUUAGACUAAAGUUAAGUAGUUUAAGUUGUGUGCAAGUGGUAGGAGAGCGUUCUAUUUGCGUCGAAGGUAUACCGGUAAGGAGUGCUGGAGCGAAUAGAAGUGAGCAUGCAGGCAUGAGUAGCGAUAAUUAAUGUGAGAAUCAUUAACGCCGUAAACCCAAGGUUUCCUACGCGAUGCUCGUCAUCGUAGGGUUAGUCGGGUCCUAAGUCGAGUCCGAAAGGGGUAGACGAUGGCAAAUUGGUUAAUAUUCCAAUACCAACAUUAGUGUGCGAUGGAAGGACGCUUAGGGCUAAGGGGGCUAGCGGAUGGAAGUGCUAGUCUAAGGUCGUAGGAGGUUGUACAGGCAAAUCCGUAUAACAAUACUCCGAGAACUGAAAGGCUUUUUGAAGUCUUCGGAUGGAUAGAAGAACCCCUGAUGCCGUCGAGCCAAGAAAAGUUUCUAAGUUUAGCUAAUGUUGCCCGUACCGUAAACCGACACAGGUGGGUGGGAUGAGUAUUCUAAGGCGCGUGGAAGAACUCUCUUUAAGGAACUCUGCAAAAUAGCACCGUAUCUUCGGUAUAAGGUGUGGUUAGCUUUGUAUUAGGAUUUACUCCGAAAGCAAGGAAACUUACAACAAAGAGUCCCUCCCGACUGUUUACCAAAAACACAGCACUCUGCUAACUCGUAAGAGGAUGUAUAGGGUGUGACGCCUGCCCGGUGCUCGAAGGUUAAUUGAUGGGGUUAGCAUUAGCGAAGCUCUUGAUCGAAGCCCGAGUAAACGGCGGCCGUAACUAUAACGGUCCUAAGGUAGCGAAAUUCCUUGUCGGUUAAAUACCGACCUGCAUGAAUGGCGUAACGAGAUGGGAGCUGUCUCAAAGAGGGAUCCAGUGAAAUUGUAGUGGAGGUGAAAAUUCCUCCUACCCGCGGCAAGACGGAAAGACCCCGUGGACCUUUACUACAGCUUGACACUGCUACUUGGAUAAGAAUGUGCAGGAUAGGUGGGAGGCUUUGAGUAUAUGACGCCAGUUGUAUAUGAGCCAUUGUUGAGAUACCACUCUUUCUUAUUUGGGUAGCUAACCAGCUUGAGUUAUCCUCAAGUGGGACAAUGUCUGGUGGGUAGUUUGACUGGGGCGGUCGCCUCCCAAAUAAUAACGGAGGCUUACAAAGGUUGGCUCAGAACGGUUGGAAAUCGUUCGUAGAGUAUAAAGGUAUAAGCCAGCUUAACUGCAAGACAUACAAGUCAAGCAGAGACGAAAGUCGGUCUUAGUGAUCCGGUGGUUCUGUGUGGAAGGGCCAUCGCUCAAAGGAUAAAAGGUACCCCGGGGAUAACAGGCUGAUCUCCCCCAAGAGCUCACAUCGACGGGGAGGUUUGGCACCUCGAUGUCGGCUCAUCGCAUCCUGGGGCUGGAGCAGGUCCCAAGGGUAUGGCUGUUCGCCAUUUAAAGCGGUACGCGAGCUGGGUUCAGAACGUCGUGAGACAGUUCGGUCCCUAUCUGCCGUGGGCGUAAGAAGAUUGAAGAGAUUUGACCCUAGUACGAGAGGACCGGGUUGAACAAACCACUGGUGUAGCUGUUGUUCUGCCAAGAGCAUCGCAGCGUAGCUAAGUUUGGAAAGGAUAAACGCUGAAAGCAUCUAAGCGUGAAGCCAACUCUAAGAUGAAUCUUCUCUAAGCUCUCUAGAAGACUACUAGUUUGAUAGGCUGGGUGUGUAAUGGAUGAAAGUCCUUUAGCUGACCAGUACUAAUAGAGCGUUUGGCUUAUCUUUAAUAAAGCAU